UCCUGACAGUUGCAUGGGGCAACUGACUAACCCAAGACAGGAGAUUGACAUG
rnacentral:ncRNA from 1 species